UAUCUCUGUAGAGUCUGCAUAUCAAUAAGCGGAGGAAAAGAAACUAACUAGGAUUCCCUCAGUAACGGCGAGUGAAGCGGGAAGAGCUCAAAUUUGAAAUCUUCAAGGUUCUACCUUGACGAAUUGUAGUUUAAAGGAGUGUUUUCUGUUGGAGUUUUGGUAAAAGUUCUUUGGAAUAGGACAUCAUAGAGGGUGAGAAUCCCGUAUUUGACCAUUACUUUCCAGCUUUGUGAUACACUUUCAAAGAGUCGGAUUGUUUGGGAAUGCAGUCCAAAAUGGGUGGUAAAUUUCAUCUAAAGCUAAAUAUUGGCGAGAGACCGAUAGCGAACAAGUACCGUGAGGGAAAGAUGAAAAGAACUUUGAAAAGAGAGUUAAACAGUACGUGAAAUUGUCAAAAGGGAAGCGUUUGACACCAGUGUUGUUUUCUCGAAAAUCAAUUAAAAAAGGCAGGAUUUUGUGUUGUAUUGACUUUAUCAGCUUUCUGCACUCUUUUCUUGUCCUUUUUAAUGCACUUUUCGUUUAACAGGUCAACAUCAAUUUCUUUUGUUGUAAAAGGGUCAUUGGAAGGUGGCUUUCUUUUCGGAGAAAGUGUUUAUAGCCUUUGGCCUCUGCAAUCGGAGAGAUUGAGGUCUGCAGCGUAGAUCCUUCGGGGUUAGAUACAUUUGUGCUAAGUUAUAGCCUUUCAUAGACAACUUGCUGACUAUGAUCAGUCAUGUAGCUUACUCGCUUAUGCUAUUUUACCUACGCUUAGGAUGUUGACGAUCAGCUGAGCGCG
rnacentral:rRNA from 1 species